rnacentral:tRNA from 1 species
AGGGAUGUAGCUCAUUGGUAAAGCAUUUGCCUAGCAUAAGCAAAGCUCUGAGUUUGAUCCUCAGCAACCCAA